rnacentral:rRNA from 1 species
GAUGAACGCUGGCGGCGUGCCUAAUACAUGCGAGUCGAGCGAACAGACGAGGAGCUUGCUCCUCUGACGUUAGCGGCGGACGGGUGAGUAACACGUGGAUAACCUACCUAUAAGACUGGGAUAACUUCGGGAAACCGGAGCUAAUACCGGAUAAUAUAUUGAACCGCAUGGUUCAAUAGUGAAAGACGGUUUUGCUGUCACUUAUAGAUGGAUCCGCGCCGCAUUAGCUAGUUGGUAAGGUAACGGCUUACCAAGGCGACGAUGCGUAGCCGACCUGAGAGGGUGAUCGGCCACACUGGAACUGGGACACGGUCCAGACUCCUACGGGAGGCAGCAGUAGGGAAUCUUCCGCAAUGGGCGAAAGCCUGACGGAGCAACGCCGCGUGAGUGAUGAAGGUCUUCGGAUCGUAAAACUCUGUUAUUAGGGAAGAACAAAUGUGUAAGUAACUAUGCACGUCUUGACGGUACCUAAUCAGAAAGCCACGGCUAACUACGUG